rnacentral:lncRNA from 1 species
AUAAAAUGUUUGGCUGAAAGGUUUGGGAACUCUCGUGCUCCAGGGCAGGGGGAUCCCAGCCGAAUUCCCGUUAUUCCCAGCUCUAAAACUCCCCGUUUUUCCUCUCCCGAAGCCGUCACUCACCCCUGGCGCCGAUGCCGCCCCGGCCCAUGGCUCCGCCCCGGCCCAGCCCGCCCCUGCCCGGGCCCCCGCGGCCUCGCAGCGCUCCGGCUCCUCCUCCUCGCCGCAGCCCCAUGCGCGGGGCCAGGCCGCGCCCGCCGCGCAGCAGCGCCUGCCCUGCGGAGAGACGGAGAACGGGAGUGCAGUGAGGGGACACGGGAGUGCAGUGAGGGGACACGGGAGUGCAGUGAGGGGACACGGGAGUGCAGUGAGGGGACACGGGAGUGCAGUGAGGGGACACGGGAGUGCAGUGAGGGGACACGGGAGUGCAGUGAGGGGACACGGGAGUGCAGUGAGGGGACACGGGAGUGCAGUGAGGGGACACGGGAGUGCAGUGAGGGGACACGGGAGUGCAGUGAGGGGACACGGGAGUGCAGUGAGGGGACACGGGAGUGCAGUGAGGGGACACGGGAGUGCAGUGAGGGGACACGGGAGUGCAGUGAGGGGACACGGGAGUGCAGUGAGGGGACACGGGAGUGCAGUGAGGGGACACGGGAGUGCAGUGAGGGGACACGGGAACGGAGUGCAGUGAGGGGACACGGGAGUGCAGUGAGGGGACACGGGAACGGAGUGCAGUGAGGGGACACGGGAACGGGAGAGCAGUGAGGGGACACGGGAACGGGAGUGCAGUGAGGGGACACGGGAGCCCCCCCCCCCCCCCCCCCCCCCCCCCCCCCCCCCCCCCCCCCCCCCCCCCCCCCCCCCCCCCCCCC